CGGGUCGUAAAGCUCUGUUGCGGGGGAAAAAAAGGGACAGCAUCAGGAAAUGGGUGCUGACUGAUGGUGCCCCGCCAGAAAGUCACGGCUAACUACGUGCC
rnacentral:rRNA from 1 species